rnacentral:tRNA from 4 species
GCCGGCUUAGCUCAGUUGGUAGAGCAACGGUCUUGUAAACCGUAGGUCAUCCGUUCGAUUCGGAUAGCCGGCACCA